GGGCGCGAGAAGCGGCGUCCGCGAGUCGGAGCCGGCGGGGUGGCGGGAUGGAGGAGGGGGCUGGCUUGGCGCCUCCUCCCGCGACGAGCUUCACGCGGACCCGCAGGGCCUCGAGGUACUGGUAGAAAGCGGCGGCCACUGAUUUCCUCAGUUCUGCAAGAUGGAGAAAAAAAUUAUCUUGCCUCUUCGCUGGUGAAUCUGCAGAUUGGGAUCUGUGAGCUACCACUGAUUCAUCCAGAGGUCUAAAAUUGUGGUGAGUUCAUCUCCUAAUUUGCGCAAGCUCCUGCCGCCCACCGCCAGCUCCUCCGCUUCCACUUCCUCGUCCUCGUCUUCCUUCUGGAAGAAGUCCCUGACCGCCAUCUCGCACCUGGGCCGCCGCCGCGUCGACUGCGCGUUCGCGCUGCACGUGCACUCCGUCGACGGCCUCCCCGCCGCGCUCGAUGGGUCCGCGGUCUCCGUCCACUUCCGCCGGAUGUCCGUGUCCGCCUCCACCCGCCCCGUCGCGGCCGCCCUCGGCGCCGCCGCGUUCGAGGAGGCGCUCACGCUGCGGUCCCCGGUCUACUUCUCCCGCGGCGCCAAGGCCGUCGUCAAGUACGAGCCCCGCGCCUUUGCUGUCUCCGUCGCCGCCUCCACUCUCGACCUCGGUAAGCACGACGUCGACCUCACCCGCCUUCUCCCGCUCUCGUUCGACGAUCUCGAGGACGGCGGCGACUCCGGCUUCGGGAAGUGGAGCACCAGCUUCCGGCUGUCCGGCCCCGCCCGCGGCGCGCGGCUUAACGUAACCUUCUCUUGCUCGCUCCUCAAACACAGCCUGAGUGCAGUGCAGUGCAUAUUACCAAAGGAGUGGGAGGGAAUCUACUUUGGGGGGCUGGGGAGGGCGGUCAUGUACUUGGACUUGGACUGCCGAUUUGAUGUGCUACGGCUGGCUCAAAUUCUGAGGAAUCGUAUUGCAGAGGGCUGCCGUUUAGCACACCUUGGAAAUGGAGACCCUGAAAAUGAUGUCACUAAAGAUGAGUUUCAGUGUUCUCUUCAAAAUACACUGUUUUCUGAUUGUAUGCAGCGCUUCUUGUAUGCUCGAUGUUGCAAAAGUCCUGAAUUCAUAGAUGCUUUGAAGGUGUUUUGAGCCAGCUGUUGCAAAUACUUGUCUGAGACCCCCUUGUGUUGCAAAUUCUUCAUCUGGAUGGUGGUACAUAAUUGGUGUUGGACGGUUGACCGCCUAGCAAAACGGGGUCUGCCCCACUCAGAGGUUUGCCCCUUCUGUGACCAAGCCAAGGAGUCGAUUAAUUACCUUCUGGUUGGCUGUGUUCUUCCUUGCCAAGUCUGGACCUCAAUUUUUCAGCACCUGGUUAUAACACAAUUAGCACCUGAUCCUUCAGUGGGUCGUUUCUGGAUGUUGGAGAAAAUUAAUCACUGCAGUGCCAAAAGAAAUGUGUAAGGGCCUCAGCUCCUUGAUGAUCUUGGUGGCGUGGGAGGUCUGGAAACACCGAAAUGAUAGUGUGUUUGAGAAUUUGAGUCCAAGUACUCAGGCUGUGCUUAGGUCAGUAAGCAUGGAGCAGCACAUGGGCGGGGAAGUGGCGGGGCUGCGGCGCGGGUCGAUGGCGCGGCCAGUGUCAGUGCAAGCGCCGACGCCUUUGCCCGCGCGGAGCAGGGACGUGAGGGUUCUCCACGAGGUGCUGCCUAGCUUGAGGUCUGCCAGGCCGGUGCCUUCUUCUGUUGCUGACGGGGUUCCUGAUGCGAGGAAGGAGGAGCUGGCAGCACCGGACUGCACGGAAGAGGGGUCUCCGGAGGCAAAGCACUGCACAUCGGUAGAGGUUAAAAAGGGGGACUCGGUGCAUCCAGAUGGCGAUUGGGGCACGGUGGAGUUCAAUGUUGUGGAGCAUGGAGUUGAGGUUGCUUCAGAUGACCCGCAAAGGCUCAAACAUGUGGAAACCAGCAAUGCGGCUGGCCAGGAGGAGGAUUCAGGGUUCAAAAUUGACGAAGAGGGAUCGUUCAGGCCUUUGCAAGUAAGUGGUGAUGUCGCUGAAGAUCAGACUGUUGGAGUGAAAACUGAGGUGGCCGUCAGUGACGUUGCUGUUCAAAGGGAGAAUAUGGAAGACAAACAGGAUGGAAUAGUCAAAGCUGCUUCACUGCCUACCGCUGCUCUUGAAGCAGAGGGUCAGUUUGGAGCAGAUGCGGAACUGGAGGACCUGGAAAGUAUUUUGAACGAGCUCUCAGUUGCUGAGCCAGAGGAAUUUGAAUCACCAGUUGUAGAAGAUAAGCAUUCUCGGCGAUUGAGCUGCACAGGUGUGACUGAUAGUUACAAGUCUGCCAGUAGGAAGGGCAGAUCACGCAGCAUGGAUGCUUCAACAGAUUCUGUUGCUAAUGAGUUCCUGGAUAUGCUUGGAAUAGAGCAUAGCCCAGUUGGGCAACCCUCAGAUAGUGAUUCCGAGUCGCCAAGAGAACGGCUUUGGAAGCAGUUUGAAAAGGAAGCCCUAGCAUCUGGCAAUGCUAUUCUUGGCUUGGACUUUGACGAUGGAAUUGAAGGACCUAUUUGUGAUAAUGUUGUGGAGGAUUUUGAUCUCUCUGCAAUGAUACAUGAGGCUGAGCUCGAGCUUCAGAAUGGAAGCCAACCCAUUGAUACCAAAUUUCGAGCUAAGUCGCUGGAAGACGAAGAAACUGAGGCCUUAAUGCGUCAAUUUGGUCUAAACGAGAAGUCCUUCCAAUCUUCUCCACCUGAAAGUAGAAGUGGAUUUGGUAGCCCCAUUAGCCUCCCACCUGAGCAGUCCCUGGAGCUACCGCCAUUGGCUGAAGGUUUAGGCCCAUUUAUUCAGACCAAAGAUGGAGGAUUUCUGCGAUCAAUGAACCCAGCCCUGUUCAAAAAUGCAAAGAACAAAUGCAGCUUGGUUAUGCAGGCUUCUUCUCCGAUUGUACUGCCAGCGGAGAUGGGAUCUGGGAUUAUGGAUAUAUUGCAUGGUCUGGCAUCAAUUGGAAUUGAGAAGUUAUCAAUGCAGGCAAACAAGCUUAUGCCCUUGGAAGAUGUUAAUGGUAAAAUGAUGCAGCAGAUUGCCCGGGAGGCUGCUCCAGCUCUGGAGUCUGCUGAAAGAUAUGAUGCAUUGGACUAUCAUAGCAUCGGUGCUUUGGUAGAAGGGUGUGGAAAUGCUCCCUCUGGUAAGAAGACAGGUAGGUGUGCUGAUCUUUCAUCCUUGGGUGGGGAGAAUGCUUCGGAAUAUGUUUCACUUGAGGACCUUGCACCAUUAGCUAUGGAAAAGAUUGAAGCCCUGUCCAUUGAGGGUUUGAGGAUACAAUCUGGCAUGUCAGAAGAAGAUGCACCCUCCAAUAUCAGUGCAAAGCCUAUUGGGGAAUUUUCAUCUCUGCAAGGAAAGUGUGCAGAGAAUACUUGGUCCCUUGGUUUAGAGGGAACUGCAGGUUUGCAGCUUCUGGAUGUUAAGCAAAGCGGAGAAGUUGAUGGAUUAAUGGGCUUGUCCAUCACUCUAGAUGAAUGGAUGAGGCUUGAUUCUGGGGUAGUGGACGAAGAAGAACAGUACAGUGACCGGACAUCGAAAUAUAAGAUUCGAUCAGAUAUGUGUCGAUGCUCAUCCGAGCGUACUCCCGUUGCAACGCACGGGCACACACCUAGUAAAAGGAUUAAGGGGGGGCACACGAAUAAGCCAACGCUAAGCCUCACCCAAACCCUAAUCGACAGUGAGGCUCUCAUCGCCUAGGCGUGCGCAAGUGACUCGAAAGGCUAACCUAUAAAGGCGGUUGUGGAUCUCGGCACCCUAGCGGGCCCAGGAUCCGAGCCACCUUCUCUGCAGGUGAAUGGAGGAGGCGGCGACAACUGUGAUGGCGAUCGGACUUCUCCACCACCACCGCGCCAAUAUGAAAUCCCACUCCCCUUCUGUAAUUGUGUUUACAGUGAUAACAAGACUAGAUCUACUCUAUGUUCAUGACAAGUUCCUCGGGUUAAUGAAGUUGGACAUUGUUAAAGACCCUAUAAAACCAUCAUCAAAGUCUAUUGUGCCAUUCACAUUUCCUCUUGCCUGACCUUCUUCCUAAGUUCCAAGCUUGAAUAGAGUAGUUGUUCUGGAUGAUGAUUUGAUUGUCCAGAAAGACUUGUCAUCUCUCUGGAACCUCGAUAUGGGUGGUAAAGUGACUGGAGCAGUCCAGUUCUGUGGAGUGAGAUUAGGGCAGUUGAAACCUUAUGUAGCGGACCAGAAUGCCAAUGCUAAUUCUUAUGCAGCGUCCCUCCAUUUAUCCAGUUUGCAUGAUCAAUCAGUCCAAAAGGUCAGUACAACUCCCUGCAAGUUUACUUGCCUUUGAAGAUGUGGUAUAUCCUUUGGAAGAUUCAUGGGUUCAGUCAGGCGGCCUUGGACAUGAUUACGGAAUUAGCCGUGUCGAUAUAGAAAAAGCUGCUGCUCUGCACUACAAUGGUGUGAUGAAAUCUUGGCUUGACUUGGGGAAACAUGAUUAUAAAUAAGAGCUACUGGAGGAAGUACAUGACUAAUGGAGAGAAGUUCAUGACGGAAUGAAAUAUUCACUAAUUCAUAGGACAUGAAACUAACCAAACACUCAUUUUUUGGGCAUGUGAACAACAGAACAACAGACUUCACGGGCUAUGUUUAUCAUGAAAAUAAACAGAAUCGCACAUGUGUAUCUAUGAUGCCACUGAUACACCUAGGGGUGGUCUUAAUUAUUUUUAGUUCAAAACCGAAUAGGAAUAGAGAUUGAUUUUAAUCUGAUUUAAUUCUUAAAAUUUAUAGUAUAAAACCUAGAUGUCAUUACCACCUCGACGAGGCAGUGCCCCAAUGCUGCCGUAAGAGUACGAUGUCUGAAGGAUGCCAGCACGAAACCUGAGUUAUGUUGCAGAAUACCAAGAUAUGAUGUGGAUUAUUUCACUGUUCGUUAUGGUUUGAUGAUUUUUUUUUCA